CUAAGAAUAUUCCGCAAUGGAGGAAACUCUGACGGAGCGACGCCGCGUGGAUGAUGAAGGCCGGAAGGUUGUAAAAUCCUUUUAAGUAUGAGGAAUAAUCAGUGUAGGAAAUGACAUUGAGGUGACUGUAGUACUUGAAUAAGCAACGGCUAAUUACGUGCCAGCAGCCGCGGUAACACGUAAGUUGCGAGCGUUGUUCGGAAUUAUUGGGCGUAAAGGGCAUGUAGGCGGUUAUGCAAGCUUGGUGUGAAAGGCAGGAGCUUAACUCCUGGACUGCGUUGAGAACUGCAUAACUGGAGUCACUGAGGGGCAGGCAGAAUUCCAGGUGUAGGGGUGAAAUCUGUAGAUAUCUGGAAGAAUACCAAUGGCGAAGGCAGCCUACCAGCAGAUGACUGACGCUGAGGUGCGAAGGUGUGGGGAGCAAACAGG
rnacentral:rRNA from 2 species